rnacentral:tRNA from 1 species
GGGUUCUUAGCUCAGUUGGUAGAGCAGGUGACUCUUAAUCAUCAGGUCCAGGGUUCGAGUCCCUGAGAACCCACCA